rnacentral:rRNA from 1 species
UACGUAGGGGGCAAGCGUUGUCCGGAAUCAUUGGGCGUAAAGAGCGUGUAGGCGGUCCGGUCAGUCGGUUGUGAAAGUCAAGGGCUCAACCCUCGAAUGCCGGCCGAUACUGCCGGGCUAGAGUCCGGAAGAGGUGAGUGGAAUUCCUGGUGUAGCGGUGAAAUGCGCAGAUAUCAGGAGGAACACCUAUUGCGAAGGCAGCUCGCUGGGACGUAACUGACGCUGAGACGCGAAAGCGUGGGGAGCAAACAGG